GGAGGCAGCAGUGGGGAAUAUUGGACAAUGGGCGAAAGCCUGAUCCAGCCAUGCCGCGUGUGUGAAGAAGGUCUUCGGAUUGUAAAGCACUUUAAGUUGGGAGGAAGGGCAGUAAAUUAAUACUUUGCUGUUUUGACGUUACCGACAGAAUAAGCACCGGCUAACUCUGUGCCAGCAGCCGCGGUAAUACAGAGGGUGCAAGCGUUAAUCGG
rnacentral:rRNA from 14 species